GACGAACGCUGGCGGCGUGCUUAACACAUGCAAGUCGAACGGAAAGGCCCUGCUUUUGUGUGGUGCUCGAGUGGCGAACGGGUGAGUAACACGUGAGUAACCUGCCCUUGACUUUGGGAUAACUUCAGGAAACUGGGGCUCAUACCGGAUAGGAGCUCCUGCUGCAUGGUGUGGGUUGGAAAGUUUCGGCGGUUGGGGAUGGACUCGCGGCUUAUCAGCUUGUUGGUGGGGUAGUUGCUUACCAAGGCUUUGACGGAUAGCCGGCCUGAGAGGGUGACCGGCCACAUUGGGACUGAGAUACGGCCCAGACUCCUACGGGAGGCAGCAGUGGGGAGUAUUGCACAAUGGGGGGAAGCCUGAUGCAGCAACGCCGCGUGCGGGAUGACGGCCUUCGGGUUGUAAACCGCUUUCGCCUGUGACGAAGCGUGAGUGACGGUAAUGGGUAAAGAAGCACCGGCUAACUACGUG
rnacentral:rRNA from 1 species